GACGAACGCUGGCGGCGUGCUUAACACAUGCAAGUCGAGCGGAAAGGCCCUUCGGGGUACUCGAGCGGCGAACGGGUGAGUAACACGUGAGUAACCUUCCCCAGACUUUGGGAUAACCCUCAGAAACGGGGGCUAAUACCAGUUACGACACAGCUUCCCAUGGGGUCUGUGGGGAAAGUUUUUCGGCUGGGGAUGGGCUCGCGGCCUAUCAGCUUGUUGGUGGGGUUGUGGCCUACCAAGGCGACGACGGGUAGCCGGCCUGAGAGGGCGACCGGCCACACUGGGACUGAGAUACGGCCCAGACUCCUACGGGAGGCAGCAGUGGGGAAUAUUGCACAAUGGGCGGAAGCCUGAUGCAGCGACGCCGCGUGCGGGAUGACGGCCUUCGGGUUGUAAACCUCUUUCAGCAGGGACGAAGCGUAAGUGACGGUAACUGCAGAAGAAGCGCCGGCUAACUACGUG
rnacentral:rRNA from 1 species